UGCAGUCGAGCGGUAACAGGGGAAGCUUGCUUCCCGCUGACGAGCGGCGGACGGGUGAGUAAUGCUUAGGAAUCUGCCCAGUAGUGGGGGAUAGCCCGGGGAAACCCGGAUUAAUACCGCAUACGUCCUACGGGAGAAAGCAGGGGAUCUUCGGACCUUGCGCUAUUGGAUGAGCCUAAGUCGGAUUAGCUAGUUGGUGGGGUAAAGGCCUACCAAGGCGACGAUCCGUAGCUGGUCUGAGAGGAUGAUCAGCCACAUCGGGACUGAGACACGGCCCGAACUCCUACGGGAGGCAGCAGUGGGGAAUAUUGGACAAUGGGGGCAACCCUGAUCCAGCCAUGCCGCGUGUGUGAAGAAGGCUUUCGGGUUGUAAAGCACUUUCAGUAGGGAGGAAAACCUUAUGGUUAAUACCCAUGAGGCUUGACGUUACCUACAGAAGAAGCACCGGCUAACUCCGUGCCAGCAGCCGCGGUAAUACGGAGGGUGCAAGCGUUAAUCGGAAUUACUGGGCGUAAAGCGCGCGUAGGUGGUUUGGUAAGCGAGAUGUGAAAGCCCCGGGCUUAACCUGGGAACGGCAUUUCGAACUGUCAGACUAGAGUGUGGUAGAGGGUAGUGGAAAUAUUCCUGUGUAGCGGUGAAAUGCGUAGAUAUAGGAAGGAACACCAGUGGCGAAGGGCGGCUACCUGGGACCAACACUGACACUGAGGUGCGAAAGCGUGGGGAGCAGA
rnacentral:rRNA from 2 species